GGGUUGCUGGCGGUCUGGAAGGACUCCAUGGAGUAGAACUGCGGGAGGACGUGGCCCUGGACGAGCGCCACCUGCUGCUGCUGGGUGAGGCUGUUGAGCGUGCCUGGCUUGAGGUUGUUGAAGGCGUUGUCGGUCGGGGCGAAGACGGUGUAGCCGUUGCCGUUGAAGGAGUUGUUGAGCUGGCUGUUGAGCUGCGUGUCCUGCUGCGUCUCCUUCAUCAGCC
rnacentral:lncRNA from 1 species